UUGSUAGAGUUGGAAGAGUUGCGAACGGGUGAGUAACGCGUAGGUAACCUGCCUAUUAGUGGGGGAUAACUAUUGGAAACGAUAGCUAAUACCGCAUAAUASUGUUUAACACAUGUUAGAGACUUAAAAGAUGSAAUUGCAUCACUAGUAGAUGGACCUGCGUUGUAUUASCUAGUUGGUGGGGUAACGGCCUACCAAGGCGACGAUACAUAGCCGACCUGAGAGGGUGAUCGGCCACACUGSGACUGASACACGGCCCAGACUCCYACGGGAGGCMGCAGUAGGGAAUCUUCGGCAAUGGGGGCAACCCUGACCGAGCAACGCCGCGUGAGUGAAGAASGUUUUCGGAUCGUAAAGCUCUGUUGUAASAGAAGAACGUGUGUGAGAGUGGAAAGUUCACACAGUGACGGUAACYUMCCAGAAAGGGACGGCUAACUACGUGCCAGCAGCCGCGGUAAUACSUAKGUCCCGAGCGU
rnacentral:rRNA from 1 species